UACAGAGGGGGCAAGCGUUGUUCGGAAUUACUGGGCGUAAAGGGCGCGUAGGCGGCCUUCUAAGUCAAACGUGAAAUCCCCGGGCUCAACCCGGGAACUGCGUCCGAUACUGGAAGGCUUGAAUCCGGGAGAGGGAUGUGGAAUUCCAGGUGUAGCGGUGAAAUGCGUAGAUAUCUGGAGGAACACCGGUGGCGAAGGCGGCUCACUGGCUCGGUACUGACGCUGAGGUGCGAAAGCGUGGGGAGCAAACAGG
rnacentral:rRNA from 1 species